GACGAACGCUGGCGGCGUGCUUAACACAUGCAAGUCGAACGGAAAGGCCCUGCUUUUGUGGGGUGCUCGAGUGGCGAACGGGUGAGUAACACGUGAGUAACCUGCCCUUGACUUUGGGAUAACUUCAGGAAACUGGGGCUAAUACCGGAUAGGAGCUCCUGCUGCAUGGUGGGGGUUGGAAAGUUUCGGCGGUUGGGGAUGGACUCGCGGCUUAUCAGCUUGUUGGUGGGGUAGUGGCUUACCAAGGCUUUGACGGGUAGCCGGCCUGAGAGGGUGACCGGCCACAUUGGGACCGAGAUACGGCCCAGACUCCUACGGGAGGCAGCAGUGGGGAAUAUUGCACAAUGGGCGGAAGCCUGAUGCAGCAACGCCGCGUGCGGGAUGACGGCCUUCGGGUUGUAAACCGCUUUCGCCUGUGACGAAGCGUGAGUGACGGUAAUGGGUAAAAAAGCACCGGCUAACUACGUG
rnacentral:rRNA from 1 species